rnacentral:misc_RNA from 1 species
AAGUCGUAACAAGGUUUCCGUAGGUGAACCUGCGGAAGGAUCAUUACAUGAAAUUGUUUUAUAUACCUUUUUAUAAACAAAAGCUAUAUACAAACUCUUUUUUACACCAAAACUGUGCUCUUUCUUUUUUUUCCCAUCCCACUCACAAAAAACCGAACCUAUUGGUUCUGUGUUUUUUUCAUUUUUUUAAUAUUUAAUAUUUGGACUGAACUAAGUGUUUUCAUAUGUCUUCCUUUUGGAAGGUUGUGGAAAUCCUGGGAUACCAUAUGUGUAUGUGUAUGUAUGUGUCUAAACAAAUCUUUUUGUAAUGAAAAGAAUUGUUAGACAGGUACGUAUAAGUAUAUGCAUGUAUGGUGCCCUAGUAAGAAACCUAGUUAAACAACUCCUACCAAUGGAUAUCUAGGCUCUC